rnacentral:rRNA from 2 species
GUUCGCGCGCCCUUAUCAGCUUGUUGGUGGGGUAAUGGCCUACCAAGGCGACGACGGGUAGCCGACCUGAGAGGGUGACCGGCCACACUGGGACUGAGACACGGCCCAGACUCCUACGGGAGGCAGCAGUGGGGAAUAUUGCACAAUGGGCGAAAGCCUGAUGCAGCGACGCCGCGUGAGGGAUGAAGGCCUUCGGGUUGUAAACCUCUUUCAGCAGGGACGAAGCGCAAGUGACGGUACCUGCAGAAGAAGCACCGGCUAACUACGUGCCAGCAGCCGCGGUAAUACGUAGGGUGCGAGCGUUGUCCGGAAUUACUGGGCGUAAAGAGUUCGUAGGCGGUUUGUCGCGUCGUUUGUGAAAACCCGGGGCUCAACUUCGGGCUUGCAGGCGAUACGGGCAGACUUGAGUGUUUCAGGGGAGACUGGAAUUCCUGGUGUAGCGGUGAAAUGCGCAGAUAUCAGGAGGAACACCGGUGGCGAAGGCGGGUCUCUGGGAAACAACUGACGCUGAGGAACGAAAGCGUGGGUAGCAAACAGGAUUAGAUACCCUGGUAGUCCACGCCGUAAACGGUGGGCGCUAGGUGUGGGUUCCUUCCACGGAAUCUGUGCCGUAGCUAACGCAUUAAGCGCCCCGCCUGGGGAGUACGGAC